rnacentral:lncRNA from 1 species
UGUGUGUCUGUGUGUGUGGGUGUGUGAGUGCAAUCAUAUAUCUAAGCAUUCAUCCACUCUCUUAAUUUCAGGUUCCUCUGGGAUGUUCUCUGGUGAUGCUGAGUCUGUGGAGACAAGCCUCACACAAGUACUGUUCGCUGGUCUCUUCCUGCUCUGCUGCAGCCUUUUUGGCCUCCUCAGGGACGCGCUGCUUCUCAGCAGUCGUACCCAGCACUUGAGGAAGCCUGCACUGACUGUUUUGACUUUGACUCUGUUUGCUACUGGUGAGUCCCUGAUUAUGCAGAGAGCAUCUAUAGUUUUACCAGCAGUUUGGGUCUGUGUCUGAAGAGAUAUACUAUAAAAUGCUACCAAAUUCAUCUUGGGGACCAGUCUAUACCGAUACAGUAUAACCCCCCUAGUUAGCCUGUGGAUGUGCCUCGAGUUGUUGGCUAACAAUAAUGUGUGUGUGUGUCUGUAUGUGUGUGUGUGUGUGUGCAGGUUUCUGGUAUUGGUACCCUGCUCUCACCUCUCUCCUGAUGGUUGCUGAACCUGCCUGGCCUGGAUACAGCACAUCUACCCUUGGCAUGAACACGGUAGGUCUGUCAGCAGAAACAACCACAGCAGAUAACAGCUGACUGGACCACAUGUGGUCCUGAUGCGGGCC